AGUGAACGCUGGCGGUAGGCCUAACACAUGCAAGUCGAACGGCAGCACAGGAGAGCUUGCUCUCUGGGUGGCGAGUGGCGGACGGGUGAGGAAUACAUCGGAAUCUACUUUUUCGUGGGGGAUAACGUAGGGAAACUUACGCUAAUACCGCAUACGACCUACGGGUGAAAGCAGGGGAUCUUCGGACCUUGCGCGAUUGAAUGAGCCGAUGUCGGAUUAGCUAGUUGGCGGGGUAAAGGCCCACCAAGGCGACGAUCCGUAGCUGGUCUGAGAGGAUGAUCAGCCACACUGGAACUGAGACACGGUCCAGACUCCUACGGGAGGCAGCAGUGGGGAAUAUUGGACAAUGGGCGCAAGCCUGAUCCAGCCAUACCGCGUGGGUGAAGAAGGCCUUCGGGUUGUAAAGCCCUUUUGUUGGGAAAGAAAUCCAGCUGGCUAAUACCCGGUUGGGAUGACGGUACCCAAAGAAUAAGCACCGGCUAACUUCGU
rnacentral:rRNA from 1 species